GAUGAACGCUGGCGGCGUGCCUAAUACAUGCAAGUCGAGCGAACUGAUUAGAAGCUUGCUUCUAUGACGUUAGCGGCGGACGGGUGAGUAACACGUGGGCAACCUGCCUGUAAGACUAGGAUAACUUCGGGAAACCGAAGCUAAUACCGGAUAGGAUCUUCUCCUUCAUGGGAGAUGAUUGAAAGAUGGUUUCGGCUAUCACUUACAGAUGGGCCCGCGGUGCAUUAGCUAGUUGGUGAGGUAACGGCUCACCAAGGCAACGAUGCAUAGCCGACCUGAGAGGGUGAUCGGCCACACUGGGACUGAGACACGGCCCAGACUCCUACGGGAGGCAGCAGUAGGGAAUCUUCCGCAAUGGACGAAAGUCUGACGGAGCAACGCCGCGUGAGUGAUGAAGGCUUUCGGGUCGUAAAACUCUGUUGUUAGCGAAGAACAAGUACGAGAGUAACUGCUCGUACCUUGACGGUACCUAACCAGAAAGCCACGGCUAACUACGUGCCAGCCGCCGCAGUAACAC
rnacentral:rRNA from 1 species